GAUGAACGCUGACAGAAUGCUUAACACAUGCAAGUCGAUGGGGAAGUGGUGCUUGCACCAUGGUAACCAUGGCGGACGGGUGAGUAACGCGUAAGGAACUUGCCUGCGGGACUGGGAUAACAGCAGGAAACUGCUGAUAAUACCGGAUAAGGUCAUUAAGCUGCAUAGCUUAGUGAUGAAAGGAGACGCCUGCGGAGAGCCUUGCGUCCUAUUAGCUAGUUGGAGGGGUAACGGCCCACCAAGGCGAAGAUAGGUAGCCGGCCUGAGAGGGUGGACGGCCACAAGGGGACUGAGAUACGGCCCUUACUCCUACGGGAGGCGGCAGUGGGGAAUAUUGGACAAUGGGGGCAACCCUGAUCCAGCAAUUCUGUGUGCACGAAGACGGUUUUCGGAGUGUAAAGUGCUUUCAGCAGGGAAGAAGGAAGUGACGGUACCUGCAGAAGAAGCGACGGCUAAAUACGUG
rnacentral:rRNA from 1 species